rnacentral:rRNA from 1 species
GACGUAGGGCGCGAGCGUUGUCCGGAUUUAUUGGGCGUAAAGAGCUCGUAGGCGGUUUGUCACGUCGGAUGUGAAAACCCGAGGCUUAACCUCGGGCCUGCAUUCGAUACGGGCUGACUAGAGUUCGGUAGGGGAGACUGGAAUUCCUGGUGUAGCGGUGAAAUGCGCAGAUAUCAGGAGGAACACCGGUGGUGAAGGCGGGUCUCUGGGCAAUAACUGACGCUGAGGAGCGAAAGCGUGGGGAGCGAACAGG